UACGGGGGGGGCAAGCGUUGUUCGGAAUUACUGGGCGUAAAGGGCUCGUAGGCGGCCAACUAAGUCAUACGUGAAAUCCCUCAGCUUAACUGGGGAACUGCGUGUGAUACUGGAUGGCUUGGAUUUGGGAGAGGGAUGCGGAAUUCCAGGUGUAGCGGUGAAAUGCGUAGAGAUCGGGAGGAACAUCUGUGGCGAAGGCGGCCACCUGGACCAGCACUGACACUGAGGCACGAAAGCGUGGGGAGCAAACAGG
rnacentral:rRNA from 1 species